UUGUUUUAAUCCUAUUUCUUUUGUAACAGUUUUAUAUGGGAGGUAUUUCUCAUCCUUGGAAAUUGUUUUGCAGUCCAGAUGGUCUUGAUCAUGGAGUCCUCAUUGUAGGAUAUGGCAAGAAGGGUAAUGAACCUUACUGGAUCGUGAAAAACAGUUGGGGAGAAAACUGGGGAGUGAAGGGCUACUAUUUGGUGUACAGAGGAGAUGGCACUUGUGGCUUGAACAAGAUGUGUUCUUCCGCUACUGUGAAUUAAUCAAUCAAAGACUUUUAUUUUUAGAUGGGCCUUAUGUAAUUUCUUUUUCAACUUAUAAGAGAAGCCAUCUGUCUUUAAAAAUGAGAAGAAUGAAAAAACAAACCUGAUAGUCUAAUCAGAGAUAUUAAUAUUGACAUUUGAUUGGUCAUCUAUAAAUAUAUUGUAAAAACAUUAAAAUAUAUGUGUGUGUGUGUUUAUUAAUUUAUAAUAUUCAUAUAAUAAUAAUCAAAUUGCUUUUUUUUUUUAACUUCAUUUGAUAUCUUGUAGGGAUAUGAGAUGUAAAUAGUUAAAACCUUGUAAAGAAAACAAAAUUAUUUCUUUUUUCGACAUAAAUCUCUCUCCACGCUAAGUGAUUUAGACUAUUGUAAAAAAAAUAUUUUUAUUGUGUGAAAUAGUCAAAGGAUAAGAAGCUUAAGCUUCAAACUCACAAACCCAACGCAAACUUUGCGCUCUCCUCAAUUAUUACUAGUUUUUAUUUAACACAUUUUUUUAAGAAUUAAAAAACAGUUUAACUCGUGUAAUUAAAACUUGAUAAAAAUAUUUUACUUUGUGUUUUGGAUCCUGAAAAAACAAUUAAGCUUGUAACAGACAUUCCUUUUUGUGUUUUCUUUGUGAGUGCUUUAAGUUUUCUGUUUUUAAAUUUAAAUAUAUAAUGAUUUGUGUGUGUCAACAAUUAGCAUGUCAUUUCAAUUACUGGACAAUGAUCAUUUUUUAAUUUUAAUUUUUAUUCCUUGUGUAAUAACUAUUAGUAAAUAGUCAUUUAUGUUAUUUAGUUAGGCCCAACUGUAAACAUUUAUAUAUACCCUAGUAUAAAGUAAACUAAAAGUUGAAAUGAAUCUACAUCUCAUAUUUGUAUUCAAGAAUUACAUUAUCUAGGUUCCUUUUGCCAAAAUAUGAAGUAGCCAAAAAUUGCCUUCUUAGAAAUAGGCUUUGUAUCAUUGAGGUGUAUGAGAUUAAAAUAAUUAAAAUAGUUAAGGGCUCUAAAAUAAGUUAAAAGUUUUUUUUCUGGAUAUUAUCCUUCUUAACAAAUGAAUCUCUUUUGUUCUAGACAUUACACAUUUUUUUAUUUUGAUAUAGUCCUAUCUAUCUGCUACAAAAAGAUAUUCAAGUCAUUGAUAUGGAAAUAUUUGUAACUUAUGAUUUUAAAUGUGGGCCUAAUGUACAUAGAUAUAUGAGAGGCAGUUCUGCACCAGGUUGGUGAAGUCUCUUAUAUAUACUUUUUCUUUCUCCACUUCAAUAUCUGU
rnacentral:sRNA from 1 species